UAGAAUUUGUGGCCGCGAGUGAGAGCUCCACUCCAUGCUCCGGUGGGUUCCAAGUGUUUUGGGUAAAGGUUGCCCUUCGGGCGACAAAAAAUUUUGGUGAAUUGAGCAUACCUAUGAGUUUCGUGCAAUUUAUGCAGUCGCUGCCUCAAGCUUGUUGCCUCCCUUUGCCAGAACUCUGAAGAAAUUAUUGUCAGCUCGGAUUUCAUAUCUGAUGGAUUAUUGAUUCAGUUUAUUAACAGUGCAUCUGUUAAUUGUGACAAGGUCUUGUAUUUUGGAGAGACAAAUGUUGUGGAAGUAUUAUCUUUUUAACUCAUCAUACUUUUGUAUAUUCUCAUAAACGAUAAACGAUCUGAAAACCGAACAUUUUUCUUUGUUUAUAUCACUAUAGGUGUUUCUUUUUUGAGGUAUGAAAGAUUCACACAAGCAUGUAUUAGAUGCAAAAUAUGCUAUUGAUCUAUGUUGCUGUUCUAAUAGUGAUAACCACAAAUCUAGGAUUGACAUGUACAUUUCAGAUUGAAACAAGAAAUGCGUGUAUUAGAUUGCAAGAACAUGAAAAUAUUACCAACUAUCAUCUGUGAAUGAAAGAAUGAACAACAUGGAUUACAUAUUUUGCAUGGAUGUGCCAAGUUGUAGACAUAAAUGUUAGUGGCAUCCAUUUGGGCUUAAUCUUUCAUAUGUUUAUCAUCAUGACACUCUAUUAGUUGUCUUGGAAUCAAGAUGUUCAUGUCCAUAGUUCUUUCAAAUGUGAUUAACAUAUAUAAGAUUAAAUAUCAAUUUAACAUAAAAAUUUAAACUUAAAGAAAACAAAUAGCUCAGCCCAAUCCUUCCUAUGAUCUGCUCUUCUUUGAUCACUGAUCUCACGUCUAUAGUAAUGAUCAUACUAGGCAAAAUGACCUCUAAUCCAAAAGCAUAUAUAUUUGGAACGAAGUACAACUCGAUCACAUGAACCUUGUACCAGUUCCCAGGUGUUAAACCUUGGGAAUGAAGGUAACAUCAUCUCCAUAGUGAUGAUGUUCCCAGGUGUUAAAGCUUGGGGUUGAAGGUAACAUCACCUCCAUAGUGAUGAUGUUCCCAGGUGUUAAAGCUUGGGGGAUGAAGGUAACAUCAUCUCCAUAGUGAUGAUGUUCCCAGGUGUUAAAGCUUGGGGAUGAAGGUAACAUCAUCUCCAUAGUGAUGAUGUAGCUUCAACCUCAUGACAGGCGAAAGAAGAUAGAUUACAGUUGAAGAGCACUCCCCAUCAUCAUUCAAACUAUUCUAGCUUAUAGUCUCAUCACCACCAUGAACACAGUAGCAAGCAGAACUAACGUCGAGAAGAGAGAGAGA